rnacentral:rRNA from 1 species
UAGGGAAGUCUUCCACAAUGGACGCAAGUCUGAUGGAGCAACGCCGCGUGAGUGAAGAAGGGUUUCGGCUCGUAAAGCUCUGUUGUUAAAGAAGAACGUGGGUAAGAGUAACUGUUUACCCAGUGACGGUAUUUAACCAGAAAGCCACGGCUAACUACGCGCCAG